CUACGUGCCAGCAGCCGCGGUAAUACGGAGGAUGCGAGCGUUAUCCGGAUUUAUUGGGUUUAAAGGGUGCGUAGGCUGUCGGUUAAGUCAGCGGUGAAAUCAGCACGCUUAACGUGUUGUUUGCCGUUGAAACUGUCCGUCUUGAAUGCGCUCGUCGUGGGAGGAAUGUGUGGUGUAGCGGUGAAAUGCAUAGAUAUCACACAGAACACCGAUUGCGAAGGCAUCUCACGAGGGCGCUAUUGACGCUGAUGCACGAAAGCGCGGGUAUCGAACAGGAUUAGAUACCCUGGUAGUCCGCGCUGUAAACGAUGAUGACUAACCGUUGGUCUGGUAUGGAUCAGUGGUCAAGCGAAAGCGUUAAGUCAUCCACCUGGGGAGUACGGCCGCAAGGCUGAAACUCAAAGGAAUUGACGGGGGCCCGCACAAGCGGAGGAACAUGUGGUUUAAUUCGAUGAUACGCGAGGAACCUUACCCGGGCUCGAACGGCGGAUGAAUAUGUUUGAGAGA
rnacentral:rRNA from 1 species